UGAGACAUGCAUCCGGUUAAAAAAAUGGUUAGAAAACAAGUCAGGAAGGUUUAUUGUAAUUUAAUCAAAAUAACUAAUGUUGUAGUUCGACACGUGCUGUUCCAGGUUUGACACGUUGUUACCUAGCAAGAUGUGAAAUUAUUCUCAUCGGCUUCUUCUGUUUUGUUUGUGCAAAACUUUGAUGAUUUUUCAUGUUCCUUCUCUUCUUUGCUCCGUCUUUCAGUUUGUCGUUGCACAUAUGUGCACUAGCUAUUCCAAGUUUUUGCUAUUUGGCUCAUACACAGUAAAGGUAUGAAUACCACCAUUAUUUAGAUUUAAGAUUCAGAUGGGUUUUAAUCUGAACAAUAUUUUCUUCUCAUGUUUUGAAUACGGGUUUGCAUUAGAAGUGUCUGUGAAAUUGCCCGAAAGAAACUACGAUUGACCUAAUUUUUUUUUAAUUUGCUGUUUCGAGAAAUCUUGACUCACACCUUCAAAUGUUUUAAACGUGUGUUUUACCUUUACAAAAUCAGCUUUUCCUGUCAGUUCUUGCGAUCAAUUUGACAACCCUAUUUCUUUAAAAUUUAAACUUUUUGCUUUUUGGGUCUUUCUUUUUUGGUUGAAGUAGCUUUAUGUCAAAACUAAUUAAUUGGUGCAUGAAUAUUGAUUGACGAGUGUCUGAAACCAUGAAGACAAAUAGCAUAUGAAUAUUUGAUAUUCCAUUAAUAGAGUAUAAUUUAGUUGAUGAUAAGUGAUUAGUUGGCAAUCGCAUGGAAUUGUUUACAUGUUCCCCCCUGAUCUUCAAUGGGGUUGAGUUCGUUGUUUGCAAGAAAAUUAUGUGUUUGAAACAUCUCUGAUAUAUGUGUGUAUGGACUAUGGAACGAGAAUGUGACUUGUUCAUUCAAGGAAGAAUUUUAUGUAGUUAGCCAUAAUAUGUUUUUGUUCAUCAUGUUUAAUCUAAAUUAGAAGGAUAAACGAGCGAAAGAGAGACAGAGUUUGUGACUAUAGGUAUCUAUAUAUUUCUGUGUGUGUAAUUAUACUUCCCAGACCCCACUUGUGGGAUUACAGUGGGUUUGUUGUUGUUGUUGUUGUUGUUGUUGUUGUUGUUGUUGUUGUUGUUGUUGUUGUAAUUACAAAAUUGUUCCUUUACAACAAGGAUUCCAUAAGCAUCUUCUACAAUAUUUGGAUGCUUAUGCAAUACAAGACAAGAGUUGUACUAUCUUCAUUGGCAAGAGACAACAUUCACAAGUGUGCUCCUUGAUCUGAUCAAGCACCUAAAGAUAUUGUCCAGGCCAUCCUCAAUGCAUUCAGAAUGAGCUUGCAGAUUUUUCAAUCUGUUCUGUGCAAACUGGAUUGAAGAUUUAGAUUACUUUUGUCUAAAAUAUUAAGUUAAAUGGUGAUAUUAGUAGAAGUGUUUGCAAAAGAUAUCCAGAGCAGUAACAUCAAAUUUUGAUAUCCUUUAAAAUAUUUCGAAUAUCGACAUCAUGCUAAAAAAGUGUUCAAUAUUGUGAAAAGUUCACAUUAGAAUGUGGUUCAAGGGAUAAAACUUAUUGCAAGUUUUAACUAUUAAAUGGAAGAAGUAGGAUAAAAGAGAAUUGGAGAUGAGAUUUGAAUCCUUUUUAAUAAUUAUGAAGCAAUUCCCUAACUUUUUUUAAAAUUUGUUGAAUGAGGAUUUUCAAUAUAGGCUGUGUUAAGCAUACUUCUUUGACAGAAAUAUAAAGGAGAAGACUGGCCUUGUAAAUUGCUAAUUAGCUUAGAAUGUUAUUCCUGAUACCCUUGUAGCUCUUCUCUAAUGAUGAAGAGUACCUAAAUUUUUAUUUACUAUCAUUUUUAGAUGCAAAUUAUGAAAUUUUCUAGGUAUAUGUUGAAUGCUUUCGGAAUAUAUAUAACACAACAAGAAAGACUAAGAAUUAAAACGGAGAUGAUGGUAAUUUGGAAGUUCUAGAUAGUAAAAUCGAUUCAAGAAUUUUUGUCAUACAAUAAAUUUUUACCGGUGAAAAUAAUAUUUCCCUUCCACUUUCUGACUAUUGUUUCCUUAAACUUCAGAAGACAUCUAUGGGAUUAUUUCUCUUUGCAAGAUAAUUACUUAUGUCUAAUUCUCACUACUUAACAGACACACAAUCACUCUGUCUCUGAUGUUAGUUCAUUCGUUAAUUUGUAUUUGACCACUGCGCACCAUUGGUUAAAGCAGCUUAUUAGAUAGACAACUCUUUUGAAUUACAUGGCUUGGUAUACGUUGAUAUCUUCAUUUACGCUCAGUUGUUGUUUGUACUAUGAUAUCCUAUUUUACAAUGUAAAAUAGCUCUGCUUUCACUGAUUGUUACUUAAUUGUUGCUUCCUCAGCAUCUUUUUCUAUUUGGCAAAGAAAAUUUAAUUGUAAUGUUGCAGAAAAACGUGUAGGCCCCUAGAGUAUUGACAUUGUGAAAAAAUACAUUAAUGAAUAGUCGACAGUCAAAAAAAGGUCCUCGCUCGGUGUAGGAAGUUGAUGAUAAAAAUGCCAAAGGAGGAGAGGCACUUGAAAUAUAAUUGCUAUUCUUUUCUAAGGCUUGGCGUACAUAGAAAUCACGAUAUUUAGACGCACUUACCCCAAAAUAAAAAUAGAGACAUUCAUAUGGAGCUUUAGCUUUCCUAUGACGUGGUGUCGAUUAAACGAAAAAUUUAAUAGUUUACCUGUUAUUCGACAUCAAUAGUUAUUGCAAAGGAGAAAUAGGUGAAUUUUUCCAGUUGUUCUAGGUAAAAUGAUAUUUUGUUUAGAGCUCAACUAACUAAAUUCUUGUAGGGAUUGAGUGUAGGAUAUUUAUUACCAAGGACAAGAGCUGAAGGACUGUCCAACCCCAGUUGGGUAUCAGUUUUUCCUGGAGUGUUAUGUAGACAUAUUUUUUACAUUAUCAUCGUAUAAUUAGAAAGCUUUAUCUACUAUUUGACAUUAUAGCACUGGAGGUGCUCACUAUAGUAGCAAGAUAGUUUUCUUCGCCAAAAUUUUAUUUAAAAGAGCAAGCCAGAGAAAAGAAGCGUUUAGAUAAUAUCUUUUAUCCUACUCUCAUCUAUUGAAAAAGGGAGCCCCUUGAUCACCUGAAGAGAUUUUUAGGCAGAAUUGGCAUAAUUAUUACUGUGAGGAUUGAGCUGCCAAAAGAGAUUAUCCUCCUUUGGGCUAGAAGAGAAGAUUUAUGCAGUCCAUAGAAAAAUAAAAAGAAUAAAGUAUUCUGAAGCCAAAUGCUCUUGGAUGGGUAGUUUCUUGGAUGGGUAGUUGAAUAGGAAAAAAGGCGCAAAAUAUGGGUAGUACGUAUUUCACCGUUGAGCUUCCUUUAAAUGAUUCCUACAUGUAUUUAAGGAAGUUUAUAUUGGGGGAAUUAUUUAGUUUACAAAUAUUCGUUGAAGCUUUAGAUUAAUUCAGUUUUAUUUAAGCAUUUAAUCAAAAUAUGGGUAGUACGUAUUUCGCUGUUGAGUUUUGGAUUGAGGCACAAUUUAAUGAUUUGAUUGAUUCCUGAUAUUGUGUAUAUUAACAAUUUCACCUCUUAAUCUCUAGGCAGGAGUAGCUGCAGUAGGAAGGACUGAAUUAACGCAGAUACAUCGGAGUCGAGAAGUUAGUCAAUCAUAUGUUACCUCCAUUGGACGACAUUUAUUGCUUUGGCGCAUGCGUUCUGGUUGAUGAUCAAGAUUAGACUCAAAGUGGUAAAAAACAAACUUAGUUCAUAUUACUUUCUCGGAAACCCCCUCUCCCAACACAACUUUUUUGCAUCUCCAGAUUCUUUUUUCCUUUUAAGAUCCUGCUUAACUUAUUUAUAUAUUUUUGAUAUCCCAUAUCUUGUGCAACGGCCCAGGAACAUGUACUCCAAUAUGUCUAAUUGCCUUCUUUUUUAAGGUUCGUAUUUUAGGGAGUGAUAUUUCUGUUUUCCUUUUUCGAUUUGCCUCAGUAUGACUGAAUUGCAUGAUAAAAAAUGCUUGAUCCAAAUCCCAAUAAGUUUGAGGUUACACAUGGAUCAUAUCUGUUACUAUAUUUCUGAUUUGGGAUAUCAGCUCAUCAGAGCUUGAUUCAGAAUGCAUCUCACUUAGCUUUUAAUUGUACAGAGGCGAUAAAAGUGUGCAUUAAUCGUUGGACCAUUUCUAUAUUUCUUUUGGGGCAUUAUGGUAGGUGCUAUUAGGAACUCUAUUUACCAAUAGUCGAGCUUAUUUUAAGAAUCCUAUCAUAUUCCUACACCAUUGGCCCUUCCUUCAAAUUAAAAUUAAUAAUAAAAGAAAACUAAAUAAGAACAAAUAGAUGAAAAAGGAGAGAAAAAAGUUAAUAAACUUAGCGAGAAAUAAGAUUUGGUAAAGCUACUUGAUUUUUUUAUGUGGAAAGCAUUUUAAGAAUCACGACACUUUCUUUGAGUGGUUUGCUUCUUUACAAGCUACGCAUGGUUGAUCAGUUAUUUGUCCAAUGGCCACUCAUUGUGUGGGUUCUCUUAUGUAAAUAGAGUCGUUUCCAAGGCACCACUCAUAGUCAACCUCCUUUGUGCGAUCGGAGGAACUUAAUAGUAUAAUAUUAGGCCCUACUUCUCUUAGAUAUUGCUGAUAUGCGCAAGAUUUGCUGGGUGGUGUUGUAUUUACCAUAGGUAUAAUUGAUAUAGUGGUUUUGCCAAUUAACAUGGGUACACACACUAUACCUGAUGUAACCUUAUGUUCUCAUAGCCAAAGGAACCUAUAUUUAUAAUUAUCAUUCACUUUUAAACUUUUACAUUUAAUGUUGCAAUGAUUUGUGUCACCCUUUCUUUAAAUGAAAAUCACAUUUGUUCAAGAACUUUUAGAAAAAACUUAAAACAGAUCAAAAGCUCAAAGGUGAACUGCAAUGGUCCAUAGGUAAGGGAGAUAUCCUAUUGACUGCCAAAAUCGACUUAAUAUUGUAAAUUCUUGGCCGCCUAACCGAAUUAUAUUAGUGAUGUAGAAUGGGGUUGAUGAUAACUAAUGUGUAUAUUUUUGUUUUGAUACAAACUUCUUUGGUGGGUUGAGGGCACGAGUAUAUGAUUUUGAGAUGACGAAAUGAGGUUCAGGAACUGGAAUUGAAGCUAUUGGGAACAAACUUCUGAACUCUUUCGACGGACCCCCGACUUUUGAGCAACCAAAAAUGACUAUUGAGAAGCUCCUUGAGUAUGGUAACAUGCUCAAGAACAAGAGAAUGUGAAGAGAAUUCAGUUGGCAGACAUGCAUCUUAAAGAGGAGCACUUAGAGAUGCAAAUGUUGAUAGCAUUAAUACUGAAAACUUAUAAUGUCAUCAAUCUAAAGUCUAAAUAAGAGGUUUUGAUUUCCUAUUUCAAAAGCUUUGAUUAAUAAUAAGUUUGAUGAUUAGAAAAGAAUUUUGAAAAUUUUGCAUUACUGUAUGGAUGCAGGGAAGAAAGGACAACAAUCUAAUUGUCCUGUUGCUGAAGUUUCUAUUGAAUCAAGUACUAAAAAACUUGAUUCAACUUUCAAGAGUGAUGAUAAAACUUAUAUCUUCAGUUCUUUGAGAUAUUUUGCGAGGGUAGCUAUAGAAUGUGACUAUAACUUUGUAAUAUAUAAAAUCAGUUGCAUUCCAUUCAUAUCCGAGUACAAACUCCAAAUAAUCUUUUGAUUCAGUUACAAUCGAAAGGAUAACAGUGUAUAAUAAAACAAUAUACCUUUAUUCAUGUUGACCCCGGGCUAAGCCCGGGCUACCCCCAC
rnacentral:lncRNA from 1 species